ACCUUAGUCCCAUCUGUCCACAAAAUGUUCUCCCAGAGGGACUGAGGCUUGCUCAGAUACAUUUUUGCAAACUCCAAUCUGUUUUUUUGUCUCUCUGUAUUAGCCACAGUUCCAUGGGUUUUAAACUUCUUGAUUAUAUUAUGGACAGUGGACAAAGGGACUUCAAUAUCUCUGGAAAUGGUCUUGUAAUUUAGAUUGUUCAUAUUUCUCCGCAAUUUUGCUUCUUAAGUCCUCAGACAACUUUCUUUCUUUCUUGCUCCUCUCCAUGCUUGAUGUGACAUACGCAGGCUCACAACACAAAGGUUGAGUCUGCUUUUUUACAUUCUAACCUGCUUCAGGUUUGAUGUCUAUAUUGCAAACACCUGCGGCUUGCCACAAGGGAGUUUAAACAAGCAUCACAUGCUUGAAAUAAAAU